CUUUUUGCAGAUAUAAUCAAGUUAAGAUGAGGUCAUACUGGAGUGUGGUGAGCCCUAAAUCUAAUACGACUGAUGUCCUUAUAAGAAGAAAAGAGACAG